GAUGAACGCUAGCUACAGGCUUAACACAUGCAAGUCGAGGGGAAACGACAUUGGAAGCUUGCUUCCUUUGGGCGUCGACCGGCGCACGGGUGAGUAACGCGUAUCCAACCUUCCCGCAAGUAAGGGAUAACCCGUAGAAAUGCGGCCUAAUACCUUAUGUUUUCCUUAGAGGGCAUCUGAUGAGGAACAAAGAUCCGUCGCUUGCGGAUGGGGAUGCGUCUGAUUAGUUAGUCGGCGGGGUAACGGCCCACCGAGACGACGAUCAGUAGGGGUUCUGAGAGGAAAGUCCCCCACAUUCGGAACUGAGACACGGUCCAAACUCCUACGGGAGGCAGCAGUGAGGAAUACUUGGUCAAAUGGGCGGAAGCCUGAACCAGCCAAGUAGCGUGCAGGACGACGGCCCUAUGGGUUGUAAAC
rnacentral:rRNA from 1 species